GGCGGAGAAUUCUUUGUAGGCGACUUUUGAAUUCUUUAAAGUGGCCUAUCAGUUUGUUUACACAAGUCUCUAAGGAUCAAUAAGCAUUGUCCAUCUGCAGGUUUGAAGAUGUUGCAUCAUUGGGAUCGGGAAUAGAGAGCUUGUAUUUAGUUUUGAUUUGCUAAGUUAACUUGGGUUUGUUAAUUGGGACUUUAAACUUGUCGUACUAUUUAUAUUUCCUUAUUUUCGUUGGAUGAUUCUUGGGGACUAAAUCUGUAAUAGAUUAUUUAUAAACCUAAAGUUAGUUUUAUGUUUUCCGCUGCAAAA